CAUCGCUGAUAUGAUGGUGGGAAGCAGCCAUCUUGCCACGUCAUACCCUCUACAGCUCCUGUGGUUAAAUGGGCCGUUAUGUUCUGUGUCUGAAGGACUCCCUCAGAGUGACUGGAGAAACUGAGUCUUGUGGGAACUGAGCUGACCCAGGCCAGCAAUAUAGAUCGUCAGUCUCCUUGGCUGGGGCAAUGAGAGAAGGGUCGGAUUCUGUUCUCACUUCCUCUCUAGUCCUGGCCUCCGCUUCUGAGUCAGAGGAGCCCUGAAAUGGCCUAAAAUAGCCUCGUGGCUGGCAGCGUGCAGCUUUAGCGAUCCACGCCACGGCUUGCAUAUUGAUUUCGAUUUUUUUGGUUCUUAUCAAGAUAUAUUCCUCAUCCCUUCAGAGCUGAAGACAGAGAGAAUCACUGCCUUAAACCUGCGGUCGCCUUGGAUUUUUGGAAGUACAAAACCUGGAAGGUCAGGCCACGCCCAGAUGACAGUGAUCACCCGUGCGGGCCAAGCUGCACUCUGAAGCAGAAGUGACCAUCUCCUAGGAACCAGAUUGACCCAGGGUAGCAUCCUCAGGCCACCACACUGGACCCAAGCUGAGAGCUGUUCCACAAGAGACUCUGUACCUGAUGGAAGCCUGUUCUUGUUUGGAGGAAUAACUAAAAACGAUGACUACGACGAUGACGAAAACGACGAUGACGAGGACAACCCGUAAAGUCAGGGAUGGAACUGGUGAAAUACAAGGAACUUCCCAGAAGAUCCUAAACCCUAGGAAGAAAGGCAAUAGGGGUAGGAGUAGGAGAAGGGGGAGAACCGGAAGGAGGGGAGGAACCAUCCUCCCAGGCUCCUGGAGCACUCUGCCACGCCCCUAACCUUGAGGGGGCGGGGCUUAGCUAGGGGUAAGGAAGCAUCCAUGUUGGGUUGCUGCUUGUUUGUGGCGUGUUUUCUCUGGUUCCUUCUUGUCUCAGAGCCUGCUUUCUGUCUAGCUGCUCAUCUCCCCGAUGUGUUCUGCUCAAGCCCAGAGAGCCAAGUGGCCAUGGGUUGAAGCCUCUGGAACCGUGAGCCAAAAUGAAUAACCUCACUCCCUUAGGUUGUUUCUCUUGAGUAUGGGAUCCCAGCAGCAAGAACGCUAACGAAUAUCGACUCCAAGGGUGCCAAUCUGAAGUUAAUAAAAAUAUAUUUGUAUUUUA